rnacentral:rRNA from 1 species
CCUACGGGGUGCAGCAGUGGGGAAUAUUGGACAAUGGGCGAAAGCCUGAUCCAGCCAUGCCGCGUGUGUGAAGAAGGCCUUCGGGUUGUAAAGCACUUUCAGUGGGGAAGAAAGCCUUGGGGCUAAUACCCUCGAGGAAGGACAUCACCCACAGAAGAAGCACCGGCUAACUCCGUGCCAGCAGCCGCGGUAAUACGGAGGGUGCGAGCGUUAAUCGGAAUUACUGGGCGUAAAGCGCGCGUAGGCGGUCUGAUAAGCCGGUUGUGAAAGCCCCGGGCUCAACCUGGGAACGGCAUCCGGAACUGUCAGGCUAGAGUGCAGGAGAGGAAGGUAGAAUUCCCGGUGUAGCGGUGAAAUGCGUAGAGAUCGGGAGGAAUACCAGUGGCGAAGGCGGCCUUCUGGACUAACACUGACGCUGAGGUGCGAAAGCGUGGGUAGCAAACAGGAUUAGAUACCCGUGUAGUC